GAUGAACGCUGGCGGCGUGCCUAAUACAUGCAAGUCGAGCGAACAGACGAGGAGCUUGCUCCUCUGACGUUAGCGGCGGACGGGUGAGUAACACGUGGAUAACCUACCUAUAAGACUGGGAUAACUUCGGGAAACCGGAGCUAAUACCGGAUAAUAUAUUGAACCGCAUGGUUCAAAAGUGAAAGACGGUUUUGCUGUCCCUUAUAGAUGGAUCCGCUCUGCAUUAGCUAGUUGGUAAGGUAACGGCUUACCAAGGCAACGAUGCUUAGCCGACCUGGGAGGGUGAUCGCCCACACUGGAACUGAGACACGGUCCAGACUCCUACGGGAGGCAGCAGUAGGGAAUCUUCCGCAAUGGGCGAAAGCCUGACGGAGCAACGCCGCGUGAGUGAUGAAGGUCUUCGGAUCGUAAAACUCUGUUAUUAGGGAAGAACAAAUGUGUAAGUAACUAUGCACGUCUUGACGGUACCUAAUCAGAAAGCCACGGCUAACUACGUG
rnacentral:rRNA from 1 species